UUUGUCCUACGGGGCGCAGCAGUGAGGAAUAUUGGUCAAUGGGCGCGAGCCUGAACCAGCCAAGUCGCGUGAGGGAAGACGGUCCUAUGGAUUGUAAACCUCUUUUGUCGGGGAGCAAAAGACGCCACGCGUGGCGUUCCGAGAGUACCCGAAGAAAAAGCAUCGGCUAACUCCGUGCCAGCAGCCGCGGUAAUACGGAGGAUGCGAGCGUUAUCCGGAUUUAUUGGGUUUAAAGGGUGCGUAGGCGGGAUGCCAAGUCAGCGGUAAAAAUGCGGUGCUCAACGCCGUCGAGCCGUUGAAACUGG
rnacentral:rRNA from 1 species